AACGCACAUUGCGCCCACCAGUAUUCUGGUGGGCAUGCCUGUCCGAGCGUCAUUUCGACCCUCGAGCCCCCCUCUUUUGCGGCGGCUCGGUGCUGGAACGCUACAGCGUGUUUCGCGCUGUAGGUUCCGAAAUGCAGUGGCGGCCUCGCCGAGACCCCGAACGUAGUAAACCGUGCCUAGCACAAUGCCUCGUUUAGGGAGUCCGGAGGGUGCCCCAGCCAUUAAACCCCCCAAUUUACAGAAGGUUGACCUCGGAUCAGGUAGGAAUACCCGCUGAACUUAA
rnacentral:misc_RNA from 1 species